rnacentral:lncRNA from 10 species
UUACCCCACAGGGCUGUGAAGAGGUUUAAAAGGGAUACAGAGUCAGGGCUGGGAAAACACAGGCAGAAAAAUAGGAGGAGUGGGAGGACCUCCCCCAGCCUCCAGGUGGGGCCCCCACCUGGGUGGGGCCCCCUCUUGAUUUUAGCUCUGAACUCUUCCCCAGGUGACCCUCCCACUGGAACAUCCAGGUAUGUGUUGUCAUAGAAACCUUUCAGGGACGGUGCACUCGAGAGCUUGACUGAUUUUUUUUCUCCCCAAAAUAACCCACCCUGUCAGUCAAGUAACACUUAGGCGAAGUGGUUAGGCAAGUGAGACUGUUUUACCAUCAUUAACUGUUGAGCAGGACGCCUACUUGGGGAAUUUCCAUUCUCCCAAGACACACAGUUAAUAGAAAUGCAACAGAGAUUAAUAAUAAUAGGGAGAUGAUGA